rnacentral:rRNA from 1 species
CGCGUAGGCGGUCAUUUAAGUCAGCUGUGAAAUGGUUUGGCUUAACCGGAUCAUGCGGUUGAAACUGGAUGACUGGAGUGCUGGAGAGGCAAGUGGAAUUCCCAGUGUAGCGGUGAAAUGCGUAGAUAUUGGGAAGAACAACCGGUGGCGAAGGCGACUUGCUGGCCAGCAACUGACGCUGAGGCGCGAAAGCCAGGGGAGCAAACA